rnacentral:rRNA from 1 species
GUGCCAGCAGCCGCGGUAAUACGUAGGCAGCGAGCGUUGUUCGGAGUUACUGGGCGUAAAGGGUGUGUAGGCGGUUCUUUAAGUUUGGUGUGAAAUCUCCCGGCUCAACCGGGAGGGUGCGCCGAAUACUGAGGGACUCGAGUGCGGGAGAGGAAAGUGGAAUUCCUGGUGUAGCGGUGAAAUGCGUAGAUAUCAGGAGGAACACCGGUGGUGUAGACGGCUUUCUGGACCGUAACUGACGCUGAGACACGAAAGCGUGGGUAGCAAACAGGAUUAGAUACCCUGGUAGUCC